AGUUCUUCUUUUUCGUUCUGUCUCUCUGCUCCGUAACUAAAAAAAAAUAAUGGGUGCCAAAGCAAAGACAGCUACCAACAAGAAAACCCUUAAAAGGGUUACUGCGUCUGCCUCUAAAUCUAAGUCAAAAUCAUCAGAUUUGGUGGUUGCUGCUCAGAAACCUGAAUCGGCUGAUUUCUUGCCAUUAGAAGGCGGACCAGCUAGAAAACUGCCAAAGAGUGGAAAACCAUUGGAUACUUCAUCUGCUGUUUUGUAUAUUGGUAGAAUUCCUCAUGGUUUCUAUGAAAAGGAAAUGGAAGAAUUUUUUAAGCAAUUUGGUUCUAUUAAGCGGUUAAGGAUUGCGAGGAAUAAGAAGACAGGAAAGUCUAAGCAUUUUGGGUUUAUCGAAUUUGAAUCUCCUGAGGUGGCAAAGAUUGUUGCAGACUGUAUGCAUAAUUAUCUGCUCUUUGAGCACUUGUUGCAAGUUCAUAUUAUUCCAACAGAGAAAGUUCAUCCUAAACUAUGGUAUGGUGUAACCCACCGAUACAAACUGUUGAACUGGACUCAAAUUGAACGCAACCACCAUAACAAGGAAAGAACAUUGGAAGAACAUAGAAAAUUGGUGGAGGGAAUCAUGAAGCGAGACAAGAAGCGAAGGUUGAAGAUAGAGGCUGCUGGUAUUGAUUACGAGUGCCCAGAAAUUGUGGGUAGUGUCCAAGCUGUUCCAAAGAAGAUCAAGUUUACCGAAGAUUAGGACUUUUACUAAUAUACCAAUCAAACCAUUCACAGUGUUGGUGGCUUGUGGCGGACAUAUACCCUGUCAGUCUCUUUCUUCCUAUCCUUGGCUCUGUUUUGCGUUGCAACCAGCCUAAUUGCUUAUCGUCAACAAGUUAUUUCUCCAUCUCCAUGUGAGCAAAUUUCCUUUCAGUCUACAACCAGGAUUCAAAACAAUGAUUCUGUUGGCAACGAGAACAUUGGUAUUAUACUUUAAAACUGGUAAUCUUCAUCAAGUUUUAGCAGUUAUAUUCAUAUCAUUCUGUAGACUUGUGAGUUUCAUUAACAAGCAACCUUUGUGUGAACCUCAAUUAUAUGGGAGUGAUUUACACUGUAGUGGCUUCUUUAGUUUAUACAUGGGGGUCGAAUAAGCAUUGCAACAAAA